rnacentral:rRNA from 1 species
CCGGUGAUAAGCCGGAGGAAGGUGGGGAUGACGUCAAGUCCUCAUGGCCCUUAUGGACUGGGCUACACACGUGCUACAAUGGCGGCGACAGAGGGUUGCGAGCUCGCGAGAGCAAGCUAAUCCCCAAAAGCCGUCUCAGUUCGGAUUGUUCUCUGCAACUCGAGAGCAUGAAGGCGGAAUCGCUAGUAAUCGCGGAUCAGCAUGCCGCGGUGAAUACGUUCCCAGGCCUUGUACACACCGCCCGUCACACCAUGGGAGUGGGUUGCAAAAGAAGUGGGUAGCAUAACCUUCGGGAGUGCGCUCACCACUUUGUGAUUCAUGACUGGGGUGAAGUCGAAACAAGGUAGCCGUAGGGGAA